CCGAAUAUUUUACACAAUCGAGCCCUUUUAGAAGACCUUAGAAGGUAGGUAAAGCUUUGCUGUUUUUAAUUUACCUUGUAUUCUGUUAUCUGUUGUGAUUUUGGGGCCUUUGUGCUCGCACUGAUUAUUUGUCAGGCGUGUUCAGGCGAUGGAAUAUAGGUAAGUUUUGAACAAUUUUACUACACCACAUUUUAUUUCAACAUAUUGUAAUAACAAAUAGCAUAUUUGUUUUGGGCGAAAUUAUGGCGCGUUGACAUACAGCUGAAGUGGGAAACACACUAUAAGACAGUUAUGUACUAUUGUACUGUACAAUAAUAUUGCUUUUUUUACACUUUGUAGAUGCAACUUAACCUCAAAAUAAUGCCACAUUGCUUUAAAUUUAUACAACUGGAUAUGGUGGUAAUGAUUGAAGACCUUAUAAUGAGCAUAUCAACACACUGGUGAGACUGUAGUAUUGGAUAAUGCUGAGAAGUAAAUAUUAAUAUAAACUCUACCAGAACUGGUACCAAUCAAAUAAUUCAAAUCAAAAGCUAUGUCAUGAAAGUCCUUCAAAGUGAAAAAUUCAUUCAUCUUGUACAACUUACUGGUGAAACCUGUACUAUUCUCGAAUGAUUAACAUGAUAGAUACAAGAUGUUGUCAAACUUGGACCUGCAACCCUCAAAAAAAAUAAUGUAAAUGAUCAAGAGGAAGGCCAACAAAUUUCUGGAUGUCAAACCAUAAGAAUUGGUCACAAAUGAUAUGAAGAAUGUUCAGAAUGUGCAACGGCAGCAACAGAUAAGACACAGUAGAAUGUGCCUAUUACCAAAUAAUGAACUGCAAACCUGAAAUAGCAAUAAUUGUCAACUGGAGAGACUGCUUAGUUUGUGAAUGAAGAAAUUAAGUCCCCUCGUAGAAAAAAUAAUAGUAGAAUGUGCCUAUUACCAAAUAAUGAACUGCAAACCUGAAAUAGCAAUAAUUGUCAACUGGAGAGACUGCUUAGUUUGUGAAUGAAGCAAUUAAGUCCCCUCGUAGAAAAAAUAAUUAAAUUUAAUUUAUUGUUUCCACCAGGGACUUAAAACUGUGUAUCCUUCCAUGUUAUAUUAUAUUUCAGCACGAACUUUUAGCCAAUAAUCAAUUGCAGAAAACACCAUUGAUUUACAGUAAAAACCAAUAUAAUGAACUGAUAAAGUCACAAGUAUAAAUUAUCAAAAGUAUUUUAUAUUACUUGAAUCCUAUUUUUAAAUGUUUUUUCUUCUAACCAAAC